CCCCUCGCCCGCUGCGCAGACGCGGAACUGCCGGGACCGGCGCCGGCCGGGGCCGGGCGCAUCCCCACCUCGCCCGGGGCGGGCUGGAGGCGCGGGCCUGGGGCUGUCGGACUCCGGCUAGGUGGAGAAAGGGACGCCUGUCCUCUGCAGAAGAGGAGAGACUGGAAGGUAUGGGAUUCGGGCCAGUAGUGUAAGCCGAGUGCAGCCUGCCAGGCCAAAUAGGAAGAAGGAGCCCAGCAAGUCCAAGCAAAACUCUGGCAAAGGCACCACCAGACACAAACGUUUCCAGCUGGCAUUGUCAGUGUUCCCUCUGUAUCUUCUGGACAUUCACCAUUCCUGUAAAUGCAAAAGGAUUUUUACUGUAUGCAUCUCUAACUCUCUGCCUAGGAGAUCUCGCUAGAGUA